ensembl:lncRNA
GAUAAUCCGGCACUGCUACGCAGUAAAAUCAAUUGCGCAAUAUGAUAUAGGUUGCCAUAUUGACAAAUGGGUUGAAUAUGGUAUAGUGUAUUUAUUGUGUAAGACAUGAUUGCGUUUCAUACAGAAAUGACAUAACGGAAGGGGGCGGGAGAUGGGUCAGAGAGUACGGGAGAAACCCGGGAAAAACGGGAGAGUUGGCAGGUAUGGUCUGCGUAUUAGAGCGUAUGGGAAAGUUAACGAAAAGUAACAGCCCCAUACACACAUAAUGAAAGGACUAAAGGAGACAUCAAUUAUUUUUCCCUGGACAGCCGUGAGUGUGACGACAAAGGAGAGGUCACUCCAGAGACUGUUCAGAAACCGAAACACCUCAACCAAAAACCUUUCACUUCCAGUCUCCAAAGUAUUUCAUGAGGAGAUGAUUGUUGAUGAUUUUCAUGUGUCACAUCAUGUGACGAGUGGGAAAUCCUCCACCAUAAAAACACUGCUAAUUAUAAUACUACAGUGUCGAUUUGUUGCUGCUACAGACCCCAACUGUCCGUAUAUCCCAAUCAUUAAGGAGUGGAUCAGCUGUGACGAUCUCCUACGGGCCCUUGUUAACAGCUACUGCAUGAACAGGAAUUGCAGUGAUGAUAAGCCCAAUACGUCUUGCAAUGAAACUAAUAAAAAAACAAAGACGUUGAUUUACUGCUUGAAUGAUAAUUAUUCUAUCUCCUGCCAGGAGCCCCUAGGGUUUCAAAACCCAAGGAUAUAUAUGUUAGUGAAUGAUACAGAUUUCACCCAUAACAUUCAAGGUUGUCUCAUGGACAAGGUGCCAGGUACAACAGCAUCCACCACCUGUACUAUGACCACCACCACCACGACAUCUCGUAGUGCACCAACAACAGUUACCCCCGGCAGUACACCCACCUCCUCCACCCCCACCACAUCUUCUAUCAUCACAGAUAGUACACAGUCCCCAACGCCUUCCCAUGCCUCUCACACCUCAGAACAAUUUAGUGCGACAUCUGGAUAUGGUAUGCUGGUCAUACUGUUGACAUCUCUGGGUUUAAACAUAACAUUGUCAUGGUUGUUACUGAAGCAGAGAAGCCGCCACCAACAGCAACCCAUAAACCUAAGUCUAGACUAUGUUGGAGCUCCUGGAGAAGCUGAAGCAGAGUCGUUAGCGGGUGAUUCCCUGCCCUAGAACUGGCUGCCUACUCCAGUGUUCUAGAGACAUCAGUAACAGUGUUCCAGAGACGGCAGAUGGAUUACAGAGGACGGGCCUGCUGUACUCCCAACACUGUCUCCAUGAGAGACUGCCAAUCCACCAGUCUGUGACUACAGAGACUGUUACUGUCAAACACCUGCAUCAGGACACCCUCAGACCGGUCUUUGGCUAUGGACUAGAGACCUCAACAGGAGAACCAACCUCAGUCACAACAUGAGCCCCACACCAUUCCACAGACAUUGACAGACCUGCAUGUGAAGCAUGUUCAGAUACUAUGGCACAUUAGGGCCCGUUUCACACUGCCUGCGUUGAGUGUGUGUGGUGGCUGCGUUACCUGUUGAUUUUCAUGUCAGUGCCCUUGCUAACAGGUUAGAACAUGCACAAUGCUUGACUGAGAUGUGCAGUCAUAUCGAGUCGAGUUUCAGUGUGGCGACUAUUUGUUACACGUGAGAUAAGAUAAUCUCAGUAAAAAAGACAUGUUGACAUUAUACCACCAACCAACAUUAUAACUGGCGUCUUUCAUUGCAGUUUCGAGGUAUGGGCUAUAUCGCACAGACAUGACAGAAAUAUAAAUGUCCCUCUCUCACUUAUCAUGCUUAUAAUAUAAUAUAAUAUAAGAGUAUAAUAUUCUCUAAUUAAUCAUGUCUGAAUUGUGUCUUGUUUCUUUCUGACUAACUAUUGAGUUUGACAUAGUUCAUGUUUACAAAUGAUAUGUUGCGGAGAAACUAGCAACGAUCCACAAACAGGCGUCGAGAGGCUGAAUGUGAAGUUUAUUUGUGUUAUCUAAACUUUUACGCAAUCAGAACUUGUUGUGUGUUUGGUAGCACUCCCAACUCCUGGGGGGUAUUCGUCGUAGCUCGCUAAGCGGUUUAGCGAGCUAAUUUUCAGGCUAAGAUAAAAAAAACGCCCCUCUUUUUGGUUCGUGGAAGCAACUUUUGAUAAAUCACCAUAGUUACAUAUCGAUUAGCACUAACCU